AGGGAUUAUUGACGAAGGGCCUACAGCGCGCCCAAGGUGCAUACCAUCUCCUCUGAAUUCUCGUGACAACCCUGGCUCGCGUGUCCCUCGCCUCCUGGCUGGCUCACGGAGGUUCAGCGGCUUACCGAGAACACCCUGCUGAGAAAAGACAGAUGACGGUGCCCAUGGCCUGGGACUGCAGCCGCUCUCUUGGCCCUUCUGUGACCUCUUCACCGCAGGGAACACAGAUGUGACAGUUGGAACUCUGGUCACCGCUUUGGAACAUGAGGACAAGGGGCUACCCUUGUGAGCAGGAAGGCACCUGAGUCCCUAAGAAUUCUGUGGAAUGGAG